rnacentral:snoRNA from 1 species
ACUCUCUCAGCUCUGCAUGGUUACACUUGGCUUCACACGUGUGACUUUCGUAAUGGGGAGAGAGAGAAAAGACCACCUCGGGAUCUCGGAUUGCCUGUACUGUGGUCCUUCUUUCCUUGAGGUGUGCAACAGUU